rnacentral:rRNA from 1 species
GAUGAACGCUGGCGGCGUGCCUAAUACAUGCAAGUCGAACGCACAGCGAAAGGUGCUUGCACCUUUCAAGUGAGUGGCGAACGGGUGAGUAACACGUGGAUAACCUACCUCAAGGUUGGGGAUAACAUUUGGAAACAGAUGCUAAUACCGAAUAAAACUUAGUAUCGCAUGAUACCAGGUUAAAAGGCGCUACGGCGUCACCUAGAGAUGGAUCCGCGGUGCAUUAGUUAGUUGGUGGGGUAAAGGCUUACCAAGACAAUGAUGCAUAGCCGAGUUGAGAGACUGAUCGGCCACAUUGGGACUGAGACACGGCCCAAACUCCUACGGGAGGCUGCAGUAGGGAAUCUUCCACAAUGGGCGAAAGCCUGAUGGAGCAACGCCGCGUGUGUGAUGAAGGCUUUCGGGUCGUAAAGCACUGUUGUAUGGGAAGAACAGCUAGAGUAGGGAAUGACUUUAGUUUGACGGUACCAUACCAGAAAGGGACGGCUAAAUACGUGCCAGCAGCCGCGGUAAUACGUAUGUCCCGAGCGUUAUCCGGAUUUAUUGGGCGUAAAGCGAGCGCAGACGGUUAAUUAAGUCUGAUGUGAAAGCCCGGAGCUCAACUCCGGAAAGGCAUUGGAAACUGGUUAACUUGAGUGCAGUAGAGGUAAGUGGAACUCCAUGUGUAGCGGUGGAAUGCGUAGAUUUAUGGAAGAACACCAGCGG